UGGGGAAUAUUGCACAAUGGGGGAAACCCGUAGCAUGCAGCCAUGCCGCGUGUAUGAAGAAGGCCUUAGGGUUGUAAAGUACUUUCGGUGAUGAGGAAGGUACUUGGUCUAAUAGGCCAAGUAAUUGACGUUAAUUACAGAAGAAGCACCGGCUAACUCCGUGCCAGCAGCCGCGGUAAUACGGAGGGUGCGAGCGUUAAUCGGAAUGACUGGGCGUAAAGGGCAUGUAGGCGGAUGAUUAAGUUAGGUGUGAAAUCCCCGACGCUCAACUUGGGAAUUGCAUUUAAAACUGGUCGUCUAGAGUAUUGUAGAGGGAGGUAGAAUUCCACGUGUAGCGGUGAAAUGCGUUAGAGAUGUGGAGGAAUACCGGUGGCGAAGGCGGCCUUCUGGACAGAUACUGACGCUGAGAUGCGAAAGCGUGGGGAGCAAACA
rnacentral:rRNA from 1 species